CAAAGGCUUGGUCCUGACUUUACUAUCAACUUUAGCCUAACUUAUACAUGCAAGUAUCCGCACCCCCGUGAGAAUGCCCUCAAUUCCCCGUCCGAGAAUAAGGAGCAGGUAUCAGGCACAAGCACCAGCCCAAGACACCUUGCUAUGCCACACCCCCAAGGGACUUCAGCAGUAAUAAACAUUAAGCCAUAAGUGCAAGCUUGACUUAGUCAAGGCUAAAAGGGCCGGUAAAAUUCGUGCCAGCCACCGCGGUUAUACGAAAGGCCCAAGUUGAUACACUCGGCGUAAAGGGUGGUUAGAGAAGACAAUAAAUAAAGCUAAAGACCCUCUAAGCCGUCAUACGCACCCACGAGGGUAAGAAAUCCAAACACGAAAGUAGCUUUAAAUGACCCGACCCCACGAAAGCUAAGAAACAAACUGGGAUUAGAUACCCCACUAUGCUUAGCCAUAAACCCCGAUGUAACCUCACACAAACAUCCGCCUGGGUACUACGAGCACAGCUUAAAACCCAAAGGACUUGGCGGUGUCUCAAACCCACCUAGAGGAGCCUGUUCUAGAACCGAUAAUCCUCGUUAAACCUCACCACUUCUUGUUCAUUCCGCCUAUAUACCGCCGUCGUCAGCUUACCCUGUGAAGGCCCACCAGUAAGCAAAAUAGGCUAGCCCAAAAACGUCAGGUCGAGGUGUAGCAAACGAAGUGGAAAGAAAUGGGCUACAUUUUCUAUUUAAAGAAUACAACGAACAACACCCUGAAACAAGUGUUCGAAGGUGGAUUUAGUAGUAAAAAGCAAACAGAGUGUCCUUUUGAACUAGGCCAUGAGACGCGCACACACCGCCCGUCACCCUCCCCACUAAACAACUCAAAACAUCCUUAAUAAUAAACAGCAAUUAAGGGGAGGCAAGUCGUAACAUGGUAAGUGUACCGGAAGGUGCACUUGGUAUUAAC
rnacentral:rRNA from 1 species